rnacentral:lncRNA from 1 species
AGGCAGGCAGAGAGAGCAGGGGAAGCAGGCUCCCUGCUGAGCAGAAAGCCCAAUGCGGGGCUCGAUUCCAGGACCCUGAGAUCAUGACCUGAGCCGAAGGCAGAGACUUUAACCCACUGAGGCACCCAGUGUGGGAGAUAUUCUGUAAUGAGGAUUUCCUGAGUUGUACAAGUGUGGAUAUUUUCAGCUCUUCAAGGUAUUGAUUACUAAAUCGCUCUUGGGAGUGGGUAUACCAGUUUAUGGUUUCAUC